UCCCAAAGUGCUGGGAUUACAGGCGUGAGCCACCAUGCCCGGCCUGAACCUCUCUUCUUAUGGUGAUCACGAGAGCAGCAUUUCCAGUAAGAGAAGGGAAAGCUGUGUCUGAUCUUGGGAGGAAGUUGGGUAGGAUUUAGGGUGGGAGAAUGAAGAAGGAAGGGCAGAGACCAGACUAAAGGAUUGUGUAGAGUGGGACAGAGGUGAGGCAAGCGAAGGGAGUUAUGCACAAAACUUGCAGAGCCACUCCCUCUCAGGGCCAUGCCUGCACAGGGCUGGUGCCCAAGUGUGAAUUCUUCCCAAGUGUUUUGCCCUACUUACCUCACCUAUUCCUGGCUUUGGGGAUUGGCGUGAGGUAGCAUGGUCAGAGGAUAGCAAGGAGACCCUCUCUGCUAAGGAGAAAAGUAGGCCUGACAUCCAGGAGCUGGCCUGGUACUAUCAGUAGCCCUCAGUGUUGCCCUGAGCUGGCCUGGAACCAACAGCUAGACUUUGGUGUUCUCUGUGGAAGGGAAACAAUUCACAGAACAUCAAUAUCAGACAAGGCCACACCGUGACUACGAUGGAUCAAGAUAAAGGCAAGACCACUUGGCAUUCCUGCCUGAACCUGACAAAACAUGAGCCUUGUCCAAGCCACAAAAUACUAAACAUCCUCCCUCUCAGCUAAUAUGAAUGGUAGUUGCUUAUUUACUAAUUGCAGCUUUAGCUUCCCUCUAGUCUGCCCUCCCUAUAAAUAACAUACUGAUCAUAGAAUUACCCCAGCUUCCUAAUAGUAGUCAAUGCAGAGCAAAGCCUGGCUUCCUUGGACUCUCCCUCAAAUCCUUUUUAGACCCAAAAUAGUGGCCCAGCACUGUGGGAGGCCGAGGAGAGUGGAUCGCUUCAGCCCAGGAGUUUGAGACCAUCCUGGGCAACAUGGUGAAACCCCAUCUCUACAAAAAAUACAAAAAUUAGCUGGGUGUGGUGGUAUGUACCUUGUAAUCUCAGCUACUUGGGAGGCUGAGGUGGGAGGAUCACUUGAACCUGGGAGGGCAAGGCUGCAGUGAGCCACGAUUGUGCCACUGCACUCCACCCUGGGCAACAGAGCAAGACCCUGUCUCAAAAAAAAAUCUUUUUUUUUUUAACACCCUUUUGCUGAGACACCCCAGGGCUCCCCAUGGUGUGUGCUUGCCCUGGCUGUGAGUAGUAAACUCAACCUAUACAGUGUGUUCCUGGUGGCCUCCAGCUGGAGAGCAUUACCACAGAGCUCCCACAGAAAGCUCCAUGACUCAACACAAUUCCUGUUGCAUUUCUGCACACAGCUGCCCACCGCAGGCACUGUUGAAACUCCAAGAUGUGCAGUGGAAGGACUGGCUAAGAAAACCCGACCCUGAUGGAAACGCCUUCCAAUGAGUAGAACUGAUUCACAUUGGAUCACUGGACUUUGGGUUGGGAUGUCCAAAAGAAGGACUGAUUUCAAAGUAAAAUAAAUGUUCCAAGACUAGGUCACAAAGAAAAGCUUCUCAGCCUUGAAGAAGACAAGGCAUAGGCCCGCGUCCCAGGCUCUGAGAGAGAAACGUCUCAUUUCCUUUGCUUGCAAGUCUGUGUGCCAUCUCUCAACUUCUGCCCUUGGGUUAUCUGUCUGUGUAUUUUCUUCACCCUUCUAGAUUGCCAGCUCCCUGAAUGGAGAUCACAUUGUUGCCUUUGCAUUCACCACAAUGUUAGUCCAGUGCCUGCCACUAACCAGGUCUUCCCUGCUUAUUAAUUGACCAACAGACUUUGUAUUGAAAACACACUGAAAAAGCAUUUCAAAAAUAGUUGACUUUCUCUGACGGGAGUUUUGCUAACUGGGAAGGUGAUGUAGGGUAACUUCUCAGCAGGGUGUAAAUUUUGAGUGCUAGGGAAAGAGCAGCAUGAUUGGAAGAGAGGCACAUUUCACUAGGAUACACUCUGUUAUCUUUGUUUUACAUUUAAAUGGGUCUACAUGAAAUUUGGAUGACACAUUAAGGGUAAUUUCCCCAGCGUGAUUUGGAUUGCUGAUUAGAGAAUCAAGGCCUCCUGGAGUAUUCUGUUUGUGUUACUGAUUGGUUAAGGGCUGUUUCCCAAGUGUGGGGUGAGUUCCGUUUUCCCCUGGAGAAUUAAAGAGCAGCACCCUUCAGGCACAGCCAAAGUGAACUCUCUUCAAAAAGUCUAAGCCUGGCCAGGCGUGGUGGCUCAUGCCUGUAAUCUCAGCAUGUUGGGAGUCCGAGGCAGGCAGACCACCUGAGGUUAGGAGUUCGAGACCAGCCUGGCUAACAUGGUGAAACCCCAUCUGUACUGAAAAUACAAAAAUUAGCCAGGUGUGGUGGCGGGUGCCUGUAAUCCCAGCUACUCGGGAGGUUGAGGCAGGAGAAUCACUUGAACCUGGGAAGCAGAGGUUGCAGUGAGCCAAGAUUGCACCACUGCACUCCAGCCCGGGCGACACAGUGAGACUCAGUCUCAAAAAACAACAAAAAAGCCUCUGAGCUGAAGCCCUUUUCUCUUUCUAAUUAUGCAGGAAGCAAAGAAAUGUUACUAUGUGGUGAAGAAUUAACCUUCUUCAAAAUAAGCCCGCCUUUUGUCCUUGGCUUCUGGAACGUAAUCUCUACUGUCUUUCUUAGCCCGAGGGAUGGGGGUCACAGUGGAUUGUCAGUGCAAUUUAAGGUGGGGACUGGCCACUCCCAUGUAGCCAUAGGGUUGGAGCUGAAAGACCAACAAUGUGACUUUGGGUGGAGGCUUUGGGUCACCCAGUAUCGGUGGCCUGGAGACUAAGAUCAACCAUGUGGCCAGUCAAUCAUUUAUGCCCACGAAAUGGAGCUCCAACAAAAACUGAACCCUGAGGCUUAGGUGAGCUCUCUUGGUUGGUGAUUCUCUCUUGGUUGCUGUAUUGUCACACAUGGAUGCCACCGUGUAUCCUUACUUUGUGGGGAAAAGACAACAGGAGCUCUGCAUUUGGAACCCUUCUGGACUCUGCCCUAUGUGUCUCUUUUUGGCUAAGCUUAACCUGUAACCUUUCCUUAUAAUAAACCAUAAAUGUGACUAUAACAGCUUUUGGUGAGUCCCAUGUUUCUAGGGAAUACCAAAUCAAAGAGUGAUUUUGGGAACCCUCUAAAAUUGCAGUUGUCCUGCAUUUAUGGACAGAACCAAUAUACAUCUUACUUGUAUUGAUUAAUGUCCUAUGUCUCCUUGAAAUGUAUAAAACCAAGCUAUAACCCAGCCACUUUGAGCACAUGUUCUCAGGAUCUCCUGAGGGCUGUGUCAUGGGCCAUUGGUCACUUAUAUGUGGCUCAGAAUAAAUCUCUUCAACUAUUUUAUGAAGUUUCACUCUUUUCAUCAAC
rnacentral:lncRNA from 1 species